UACGUAGGGGCAAGCGUUGUCCGGAAUCAUUUGCGUAAAGAGCGUGUAGGCGGCCAGAAAAGUCCGCUGUGAAAACUCGAGGCUCAACUUCGAGCUGUCGGUGGAAACUUUCUGGCUAGAGUCCGGAAGAGGAGAAUGGAAUUCCUGGUGUAGCGGUGAAAUGCGUAGAUAUCAGGAGGAAUACCGAUGGCGAAGGCAGGUCUCUGGGCUAUAACUGACGCUCAUGCACGAAAGCGUGGGGAGCAAACAGG
rnacentral:rRNA from 1 species